rfam:Ictidomys tridecemlineatus contig039489, whole genome shotgun sequence.
GGUGUUGGGGCUCAGUGAUAGAGCACUUGCCUAGCAUGCUUGAGGCACUGGGUUCAAUCCCCAGCACCACAU